CGCAUGGCCUGCGUCAUAGGUUGCCCGCGAGAGCGGGCCGAAGAGGGAAGCAGGUGAGGGGGAACCCGAAUCCUGCGCUGCCCCCGCAACUGUGACCGGGGAGCCGCGCGCUCAUCAUGCCACUGCUGCCUUCUUGAAGGCAGCGGGAAGGCGGGCGCGAAAGCUGUGAUCCGGCGAGCCAGGAGACCUGCCUGUUACGCGUCGUUCGG
rnacentral:ncRNA from 2 species